UCCCUGGUGGUCUGGGGGUUAAGACUUUGCACUUCCAAUGCAGGGGACAUGGGUUCAGUCCCUGGUCAGGGAA
rfam:Ovis aries breed Texel chromosome 10, whole genome shotgun sequence.